UACGUAGGGUGCGAGCGUUGUCCGGAAUUAUUGGGCGUAAAGGGCUCGUAGGCGGUUUGUCGCGUCUGCUGUGAAAACCCGAGGCUCAACCUCGGGCCUGCAGUGGGUACGGGCAGACUAGAGUGCGGUAGGGGAGAUUGGAAUUCCUGGUGUAGCGGUGGAAUGCGCAGAUAUCAGGAGGAACACCAGUGGCGAAGGCAGGUCUCUGGGCCGUAACUGACGCUGAGAGCGAAAGCUA
rnacentral:rRNA from 1 species